rnacentral:tRNA from 1 species
GCCCUUGUAGUAUACUCAAUACCCUGGUCUUGUAAACCAGAAACGGAAAAUUACCACUCCCAAGGGCA